CAACCACGUUCUGGGCAACCGUGAGGCACGCAUCAUUGAUGUGGAUGCCCUCUGCAUGGAGAACAGGUAUUUGCAGGAGCGGUUGAGCCAACUGCAAGAGGAGGUGAACCUGCUGAAAUCCAACAGCAUGAAAUACAAGACAGCUCUUGAGAGGAGGAAGAACUCCAGCACGUACGGAAAAUCAAACAGCAGCAGUCCGCUAACUGGAGUCCUCUCGGCAA